rnacentral:rRNA from 1 species
AUUGAACGCUGGCGGCAGGCCUAACACAUGCAAGUCGAACGGUAACAGGAAGACGCUUGCUUCUUUGCUGACGAGUGGCGGACGGGUGAGUAAUGUCUGGGAAACUGCCUGAUGGAGGGGGAUAACUACUGGAAACGGUAGCUAAUACCGCAUAACGUCGCAAGACCAAAGAGGGGGACCUUCGGGCCUCUUGCCAUCGGAUGUGCCCAGAUGGGAUUAGCUUGUUGGUGGGGUAACGGCUCACCAAGGCGACGAUCCCUAGCUGGUCUGAGAGGAUGACCAGCCACACUGGAACUGAGACACGGUCCAGACUCCUACGGGAGGCAGCAGUGGGGAAUAUUGCACAAUGGGCGCAAGCCUGAUGCAGCCAUGCCGCGUGUAUGAAGAAGGCCUUCGGGUUGUAAAGUACUUUCAGCGGGGAGGAAGGGAGUAAAGUUAAUACCUUUGCUCAUUGACGUUACCCGCAGAAGAAGCACCGGCUAACUCCGU